ACUCGGCAUAAUGAUCCCGUAACUUCGGAAGAAGGGAUGCCAGUUUGGGUAGCCAGCUUCGCGCUGGUCGCUCUUUCUGGUCGCAGAGAAUCGACUCAAGCGACUGUUUAGCAAAAACACAGGUGCGUGCUAAGCCGCGUAAGGCGCCGUAUACGCACUGACGCCUGCCCGGUGCCGGAAGGUUAAGGGGAGAUGUUAGCCGCAAGGCGAAGCAUUGAGCCGAAGCCCCGGUAAACGGCGGCCGUAACAAUAACGGUCCUAAGGUAGCGAAAUUCCUUGUCGGGUAAGUUCCGACCUGCACGAAUGGCGUAACGACUUGAGUACUGUCUCGACCACGUGCUCGGCGAAAUGGCAGUAUCGGUGAGGAUUCCGAUUUUCCCGCAGCAGGACAAAAAGACCCCAUGCACCUUUACUGUAGCUUGCCAUUGGACGUCGCACGUGACUGUGUAGCAUAGGUGGGAGCCUUUGAGGCCCGGGCGCUAGCUCGGGAUUAGGCAUCAGUGAAAUACCACCCUGGCUCUUGUAACGUCCUCACCACGCUCUGGAAAACCCAGGCUGGGACCGUGGCAGGUGGGCAGUUUGACUGGGGCGGUCGCCUCCGAAAGAGUAACGGAGGCGCGCGAUGGUUCCCUCAGCGCGGUCGGUACUCGCGCUCUUGAGUGUAACGGCAAAAGGGAGCCUGACGGUGAGACCGACGGGUCGAGCCGCCACGAAAGUGGGCCGUAGUGAUCCGGUAGCCCGUAGUGGAUCGGCUAUCGCUCAACGGAUAAAAGGUACGCUGGGGAUAACAGGCUUAUCGCAUCCGAGAGUUCACAUCGACGAUGCGGUUUGGCACCUCGAUGUCGGCUUGUCACAUCCUGGGGCUGGAGAAGGUCCCGAGGGUCCGGCUGUUCGCCGGUUAAAGUGGCACAUGAGCUGGGUUCAAAACGUCGUGAGACAGUUUGGUCUGUAUCCGCUGUGGGCGCUGGAGAAUUGAGGGACGCGGACUCUAGUACGAGAGGACCGAGUCAGACGAUCCGCUCGUGUCCCGGCUGUGUCGCCAGAUGCAACGCCGGGUAGCGAUGAUCGGUAGGGAUAACCGCUGAAAGCAUCUAAGUGGGAAGCCCUUCCCAAGAUGAAUUCUCCCUGGAGCCUUGAGCUCCCUGAAGGGCCGUCGGAGACUACGACGUCAAUAGGCCGGAUGUGGAAGCGCGGUAACGCGUUCCGAGCAAACCGGUCCUAAUCGCCCGUGAGGUUUGACUAC
rnacentral:rRNA from 1 species